rnacentral:rRNA from 1 species
CACGUAGGGGGCGAGCGUUGUCCGGAUUUAUUGGGCGUAAGGAGCUCGUAGGCGGUUCGGCAAGUCGGGUGUGAAAUUUCGAGGCUCAACCUCGAAACGCCACUCGAUACUGCUGUGACUGGAGUCCGGUAGAGGAGUGCGGAAUUCCUGGUGUAGCGGUGAAAUGCGCAGAUAUCAGGAGGAACACCAACGGCGAAGGCAGCACUCUGGGACGGUACUGACGCUGAGGUGCGAAAGCGUGGGGAGCAAACAGG